ensembl:lncRNA
UUGUCUGUCUACACACACAGACUUCCUACCCCUGUCCACCAGAGGGCGAGGGAGCACAGACAGGAAACCACUUGGUGUUCACAGCCCGACAGUCAGCAGUGCCCGCGGGGUGUAGGGUGUGGGCAGGGGUGUGGAGAAAUUGGAGCCUGUGUCCUGCUGGGGGGAAGUGCAAGGGGGCAGCCACCGUGGAAAACAGUACCGUGGUUCCUCAACAAACUCAAAGCAGAAUUACGGUGUGAGGCAGCCCUUCCACGCCGUGACCCCAAAGGGCGGAAGCAGGCACGCAAGGAGACAAUGAUCCACCCAGGUUCACAGAAGCGGUGUUCAUGGUAACCAAGAGGUGGGAAAAAUCCAAGUGUCCAUCAGCUGAUGAGAGGAUAAACAAAUGUGUCUCUCCACAGGACGGACUAGGAUCCAGCCUCUAAGAGAAAGGAAUUCUGACACGCACUGAAACAUGAUGAACCAUGCGGUAGGGUGCUAAAUGACACAGGCGGCCACAGAAGGGCGGACACUGUGGACGAGUCCACUGCAGGGGGUCCCUGGGACUGUCACACUCGUAGAGCCAGAGAGUGGGACGGGGGUUGUAGGGGCUAGGGGAGGAGUGAAGGAGUUCUCUUGUACCGAGGGCAGAGUUUGGGGAGGAAGCCGACAGUGGGGAUGCUGCCUCAGAGUGAAUGAGCUGACUGUGCUCAGCGCUGAUGAAGACAGCAGCUCUUCUGUCGUGUGCACUUACUUUACCAGGAUGAGAAAGAACAGCAUUAAGCAGAGGGAAAAGCACCCCCAAAGCUCAGAUACUUUGAUCAUCAAGUAUCUUUCCCAGGUGACUUCCUCUCCUUUGGUUGUCUCUUUUGCACAUUGCAAACUCUCUACAUUGAACAUUGCUUCAUCUCAUCCAAAAAGUGAUUUUUUUUUUUAGUACUAGAUAUUGAAUCCAGGGCCUUGCACUGAGCUCUAUCCCCAGACCUCCCCUACUUUUUUUGAGACAGGGUCUCAGCUUAGGGUCUCCCUCAGUUGCUAAGUUGACUGGGUUGGGCCCAAACUUGUGAUCCUCCUGCCUCAGCCUCCCAGAGUGCUGGAAUCACAGGCCUGUGCCUGGCUUACCUCAGUCAUCCCGGUUAAAACAAUGACACAUGGAGCCGAAAGACAGGCAAGAAUUGCACUGGCCUCAGCUGCUGCUGCGGACAAAGAUAGCUCUGCCUUUCGGGACAGUGAGCCGCCGGGACAAACGUGUCUACACCAUGCUGGUCUGGACGUCUCCCUGGUGCCUGAACCGAGCCCUGAGGCUCCCCCUGCCCACCUGUUCCUGGCUGGGAUGGACGACAGUCUUCUCCGAGCAGACAGCUGAGGUUCACGUUCUCACCUUCCUGGGGUCUCUUGGCAGGGUGAUAGAGCCUGCCUGGGAGCUGCUGCAAGGGUCACCUGAGACACCAUUGAGUGCGGCGUGGGGCAGGGCCCACUCCACCAUGGUCAUUGUCACGGGCCACAUAUCCUAAACACAUUCCCUUCACUAGGACAAAAUCCUCACACCAGGACCAGCCCCGUGAGAGCCCCAGGGCCUCUGCCAGAAAGCCACGUCCCUCUGGCAGCACACAGCCCCAGUCUGAGCCCCCGCCCAGCCUGCUGUCCCGCUGAGGCAGGGCACGCUCUGGGCAGCAUAAGGGGUGAAGCCACCUGUCCCAGGCAGAAGUGAUGAUGUGCCUGGUGUCCCGAGCCAGCAGGGACCACCCCUGCCCUCCCUCUACCCUGCUAGGGGGACACAGUGUGAUCUGGGAGGUAGCUGUGGCAGGGAUGACUUCUUCUCUACCAGGGGCCUCCCUGGGUGCCAAGCUGUGUGGCCCCUACUGGCCCAGUCUCCACCCUGCCCUAGUACCCACCUCUCAAGGGUCCCCUGAGCCCUGCCCGGGGUCAACCUGCAGCUAUUUCCUGCCCAGCCUCUCCUGCUCAGCACCACAGGGUUGCAGGUAGAGGCUCAGUCUGGGGUUCCAGCCCUGUGACCUUGGCCAAGGCCCUGGGUCCAGCACCCUCUGUUGCUCACCCACUCCCCAUCUGUCUGUUCCUCCCUGCUCCCACCCAGAGCUUGGCAAGGCCAGGCGCUGCUGCCGAUGGUCAGUCUGUCUGGCCCAAGGUGAACGUGCCAAGCGCCAGUGAGUCCCUUGGGGCAGCAGGUGCCAGGCUGGAGUGCCCAGGAGGAGUGGGGACAGCUGCAGCCUCAAGAUGUAAACAGGCAGAGCAGCCAUGGGUAUAAACCUGAAUCCCCACAGCCACGCAACAGUGGGCCUGCCGCAUUCCCAGAGCCCCUGAGGAGAGCCCUGUGGAGGGAGGUAAGCCCUGCCACAGGGGGGAGGCAGAGUGGGCGCUGGGCCACCAGAGCUGGCUGGGAGCUCAGGGCCUUGUCUUCCUAUACGGUAUGAGGGGCUGGGGCCCGGGGGAGCCCAGGGAAACACAGGGGAGGUAAAGGAAGGGGAAGGGGUCUGAAAGCUGCUGCGUGUGCCUGGGUCGAAGUGUGUGCAGGGUGCAGGUGUGCAGGUGUGGCUCCUGCCAGCUCACGGACAGGAGUCUUUGAGGGUGGCCAUGAGCCAGGACAGUACAGGGAGCCAGAGACCCUUAGGCCCUGGGUACUGAGUGGGGACCAGGUGGGGGCUGGCAGGGCCGUGGGUCCAGGGCCUCCCGACACAAGGGCUCCACAGGCAUGCCAAGGACCUCUGAGGGACCCUGCUGCCCCUCACCCUAUCC